AAUAGAUACCCGGGUAGUCCACGCCCUAAACGAUGAUUACUCGACAUACGCGAUACACAGUGUGUGUCUGAGCGAAAGCAUUAAGUAAUCCACCUGGGAAGUACGUCCGCAAGGAUGAAACUCAAAGGAAUUGACGGGGGUCCGCACAAGCGGUGGAGUAUGUGGUUUAAUUCGAUGAUACGCGAGGAACCUUACCUGGGCUAGAAUGCCAUUUGACCGCCGGUGAAAGCUGGUUUUGUAGCAAUACACAGAUGGCAAGGUGCUGCAUGGCUGUCGUCAGCUCGUGCCGUGAGGUGUUGGGUUAGGUCCCGCAACGAGCGCAACCCCCAUCUUCAGUUGCCAGCACGUAAUGGUGGGAACUCUGAAGAAACUGCCGUCGUAAGACGUGAGGAAGGAGGGGACGAUGUCAAGUCAUCAUGGCCUUUAUGCCCAGGGCUACACACGUACUACGAAUGGGGAGGACAAAGGGCAGCGACCUGGUAACAGGAAGCUAAUCUCAAAAAACCUCUUCUCAGUUCAGAUUGUA
rnacentral:rRNA from 1 species